AAAACUGGUGCUGGUGGAAAGAGGCACUACACAGCAGCUGCUGGAAAACUGAGUGGAGGCCAUCUUCCUUGCUCCUUGUCACUUGUGGGAAAAUCUCCAAAAGCUGCCAUAGAACGAGAGGUGGAACCAUUUAGGAUGGCAGCCAAACACCUGCAGAUCCUCGUGAUUAUACUGCAUUCUGUGGCUGUGGAUGAAAGUUUGGCCACUUUGUUUCCUUUUUAUUGUUUGGUGAGUAAUUGUGGUGAUGAAUUGUUUUUCAUUCUAUGGCGAGGAUGAAAAGGACACUUUCUUUGCUUCUUCACCUCUGCCCCACAAUGGAGAGCGGCAGCGCCUCUGAAGGCAAGGGGAGUGGGGUUUCCGAAUCCCCAGGAGAAAACACAGGUCUCUGCUGCGGCGGUCUGGUCCAGAGAACCUACAUCCGGAGGCUUUCAUUUCCUCAUCUGUACCAUCUCCCAAACAGACAUUUCUGAGAGUGAAAAGAGGCACCAUUAGAAUUAGCCUGGGUUAGCCAGAAAGGAGGUGGUCUUGGGCAAAACUAGAUGUGAUGCGAUCCCAGGGGACUCUAGGGUCUCUCCCAGCUGAGACAUCCUAAAUUAUGAAAAUGCAAGGCCCAUUCUGUAUCCCACAAGGGCCUGAGUAAGCUCCGUGAGCCAUCAUAAGCUGCCAACCUUUAGCUGCACAAGAGAAAUGAACUCUGUAGGGGACAUAUCCAAUUCCGAUUUAAAUUUAAUCUGUGUGGUCAAUUAUUUGUGUAAUAAUGGAGGAAAAUAAAGUCUAUUUCACAAAAGUCAACUCUGUAAUUUUAGAGCCUUUAAGACAUUUGAAAAUGCCUUGUGCAAUUAUGUGGCGCUUAAUACUCAGAUAAUGGAACAAUGAAAGAUGUAUGUUUGCAUUUUGUAAAAUUAAACUGUAUGCAGUUAUUUAUCUUUUACCUUAAUUGUUUGAGCUUGUUUCUAAUGUAAACUGUUGUAAUUUUAAAUAAAUAUAAUAGAAAAAACUUUCAUAGGUAUCAAGAAUCCAGAGUAAAUUUACUUUGCAAAUAGGCUUUGUAGGUAUGUUUUAUGCUGAGGAUCUUAAACUGAC
rnacentral:lncRNA from 1 species